UGACCAGUCCGUGGUCUGAGUCGUGUAUUCGGGCCAAUAGUAAUCGUGCGGUGCCUUUGAGAACACGGUACGGUCUCUCUCGUCAGUCUGGUUGUGGUGCGUUUUCACACGUCACGUCGGGACAGAGAAGGGCAUACGAGGAAGGGAACAUAAUCGAAAGAGCAGGAAUCGUAGCGUCGUUGUUCCAACGAUUUGAAAAGAUCAAAAGAAAGUCGUGAUCUGUCCGGCGAAGACCGCGAAAGGUCCGGAGACAGGGAUUCCCUAAACGCUCUUUACACUCGCCUAACCGCGUCUCUGUUUCCGUACGACCGUGUUCGACAACCGCGGAGAAGCUGCAACUCUUUUUCGGUACCAGGAUUCCGCAGCAGGAGUCGCGCAAGACGAGCAACAGCAACCAAGAGGCCAGUAAAGGAGAGGACGCGUUUGGGCGAAGAAACGCGUCAGAGGUAGAUCCACCGCAACGGUGGACGGGAUUCUCGACGAAGACGACGUCCUAGUUGGUCGUCUGACCGGGUAGGCUUUCAUCGUGGGCGAACAACAGCCUGCAAAAAGUUCGCCAUGCCGGCAGGUAUUGGCGCUUCGUACAGGUCGUUAGGCGACCUGGGCGAAAAUGUGUACAAAAGCACGACGAUCGUCGACCAAACGCAGACCACCGGACAGAGCGUCCUCGAGAGCGUCAAGAAGGCUUUCAGUUUCGCGUCGCCCAAGGUCGAGCUCAGGAAAAAGGACCCGCUGAUCGAGGACCGCCGUGAGAGCGUCUCGAUCGUCUCAAGGGAAAGAAACAGGAUGCCGACCGCCGCCACAGCCGAGGAAUCAGCACUUCUGGGCACGAUGCCUUCAGAUAGCAUGGAUGACAUCGAAUUGAAAAAUAUUCAGCUUCAAUUCCCGGCGCUAAGAUACUUGUCCAAAGACGACAGUUCUGUUCGAGAGGAAAGGGUGGAAACUGACAGAGGAAGUUUACUGGUGGCUGUGCAAGGAAAUCGAGCGAAACCUGCCAUUCUCACUUAUCACGACUUAGGCCUUAACUAUAUAUCGAGCUUCCAAGCAUUCUUCAAUUACAUCGACAUGAGAGUUUUACUCGAAAACUUCUGCGUCUAUCACGUGAACGCACCAGGUCAAGAAGAAGGUGCUCCAACAUUACCUGAGGACUAUAUUUAUCCGUCCAUGGACGAGCUGGCUGAACAGCUGCUCUUCGUUUUGGGUCAUUUUGGCCUGAAAUCCGUAAUUGGUUUCGGUGUCGGUGCUGGAGGCAAUAUACUGGCAAGAUUUGCACUUGCCCAUCCUGAGAAGGUCAAUGCCCUGUGCUUGAUAAACUGCGUAUCGACACAAGCAGGUUGGAUCGAGUGGGGUUAUCAGAAGCUGAACGUUCGCCACCUGAGAUCUCAAGGCAUGACUCAAGGUGUUCUCGACUACCUUAUGUGGCAUCAUUUUGGCAGGGGCACGGAGGAGAGGAAUCACGAUCUCGUGCAGGUUUACAAGAAUUAUUUCGAGCGUCGUGUGAAUCCAACGAACCUGGCGUUAUUCAUCGACAGUUAUGUUCGUCGUACAGAUCUGAACAUCACGAGGGAAUUAGAUCCGACACGUAAGAAGGAAGGUCUUACGCUCGGUGUACCUGUCAUGAAUAUCACAGGUGCUUUGAGCCCGCACGUCGACGACACUGUGACGUUAAAUGGACGAUUAGACCCAACGAACAGCUCUUGGAUGAAGAUUUCUGAUUGCGGAAUGGUACUGGAGGAACAGCCGGGCAAAGUAAGCGAGGCCUUCCGACUAUUUCUGCAGGGCGAAGGAUAUGUGGUGAGAUCCCCGCGGAAGCCCGUGACGCCGACAACACCCGAAGGUAAUUGUAAUUAGGAAUUGAAGGCCGCAAGGAGUCAAGCGCGCAGUUGGUCAGUUAGGCCACGUCUAUAUGUUAAUGGCACCACUAUCACCACUGAAAAUGGCUGACUACAGACAGGCUUCCCUCGAGGGAUUAAAUCACGUUUGCAGUAAGAAAAUCGACUGG
rnacentral:misc_RNA from 1 species